AUUUUCAAGUGUACAGGAUGGAUUCCACUGUCAAUGCGUUGGCAAUGGCUAAGGAUCCUGAGGCUGCUUUCUUCAAGAGGUUGGAAGGUCUUCAGCCUUGUGAGGUCUCAGAGCUAAAGGCUGGCACCCAUAUUUUUGCUGUUUAUGGAGAUAACUUUUUUAAGACUGCUGCAUAUACUAUUGAGGCACUAUGUACGAAAAAUUAUGAAGAGACAACAGAGAAGCUG
rnacentral:misc_RNA from 1 species